rnacentral:rRNA from 2 species
CUGAGGAUACGGUUAACGGAGCGAAAGCGACGUUCAACCGCAAAAGAAGCAGAGGGGGCUUAGUGGUGGGGUGACUGCGUACCUUUUGUAUAAUGGGUCAGCGACUUAUAUUCUGUAGCAAGGUUAACCGAAUAGGGGAGCCGGAGGGAAACCGAGUCUUAACCGGGCGUUAAGUUGCAGGGUAUAGACCCGAAACCCGGUGAUCUAGCCAUGGGCAGGUUGAAGGUUGGGUAACACUAACUGGAGGACCGAACCGACUAAUGUUGAAAAAUUAGCGGAUGACCUGUGGCUGGGGGUGAAAGGCCAAUCAAACCGGGAGAUAGCUGGUUCUCCCCGAAAGCUAUUUAGGUAGCGCCUCGUGAAUUCAUCUCCGGGGGUAGAGCACUGUUUCGGCUAGGGGGCCAUCCCGGCUUACCAACCCGAUGCAAACUGCGAAUACCGGAGAAUGUUAUCACGGGAGACACACGGCGGGUGCUAACGUCCGUCGUGAAGAGGGAAACAACCCAGACCGCCAGCUAAGGUCCCAAAGUCAUGGUUAAGUGGGAAACGAUGUGGGAAGGCCCAGACAGCCAGGAUGUUGGCUUAGAAGCAGCCAUCAUUUAAAGAAAGCGUAAUAGCUCACUGGUCGAGUCGGCCUGCGCGGAAGAUGUAACGGGGCUAAACCAU